GAUGAACGCUGGCGGCGUGCCUAAUACAUGCAAGUCGAGCGAGAAUCUCUUCAGAAGCGUUUUCGGACAAUUCCGAGGAGAGGAAAGCGGCGGACGGGUGAGUAACGCGUAGGCAACCUGCCCUUAGCAGAGGGAUAGCCAUUGGAAACGAUGAUUAAAACCUCAUAAUGCCAUCUUUACACAUGUUUAGAUGGCCAAAGAUUUAUCGGCUAAGGAUGGGCCUGCGUCUGAUUAACUAGUUGGUGAGGUAACGGCCCACCAAGGUGACGAUCAGUAGCCGACCUGAGAGGGUGAUCGGCCACAUUGGAACUGAGACACGGUCCAAACUUC
rnacentral:rRNA from 1 species